AUUGAACGCUGGAGGCAGGCCUAACACAUGCAAGUCGAACGAGUGGCGGACGGGUGAGUAAUGUCUGGGAAACUGCCUGAUGGAGGGGGAUAACUACUGGAAACGGUAGCUAAUACCGCAUACCAUCAGAUGUGCCCAGAUGGGAUUAGCUAGUUGGUGGGGUAACGGCUCACCAAGGCGACGAUCUCUAGCUGGUCUGAGAGGAUGAACAGCCUCACUGUAACUGAGACACGGUCCAGCCUCCUACGCGAGCGAGAAGUGGUGAGUAUUGCAAAAUGGGCGCAGGCCCGAUGCAGCCAUGCCGCGUGUAUGAAGAAGGCCUUCGGGUUGUAAAGUACUUUCAGCGGGGAGGCGUUACCCGCAGAAGAAGCGCCGGCUAACUCCGUGGCAGCCGCCGCGGUAAUUC
rnacentral:rRNA from 1 species